rnacentral:rRNA from 1 species
UACAGAGGUCUCAAGCGUUGUUCGGAUUCAUUGGCGUAAAGGGUGCGUAGGCGGCGCGGUAAGUCGGGUGUGAAAUUUCGAGGCUUAACUUCGAAACUGCAUUCGAUACUGCCGUGCUUGAGGACUGGAGAGGAGACUGGAAUUACGGUGUAGCGGUGAAAUGCGUAGAUAUCGUAAGGAAGACCAGUGGCGAAGGCGGGUCUCUGGA